rnacentral:tRNA from 1 species
CGGGGAGUGGCGCAGUCCGGCAGCGCGCUGCGUUCGGGUCGCAGAGGUCCCGGGUUCAAAUCCCGGCUCCCCGA